CGAGCCCUGCUGUGUUCGGGAUGAUUGUCGGCUUCGUUAUGAGCCAACACCAUAACAAAGGGAAUUCGGCUCUAACGGUGGAGUACACGCCUGUUAAAACUGGACGUAUGAAUUCGUUAGGAGAAUACCCACCUGCUGAGAGCAGGUUCAUUCAAGCCGACAGAACGACAUAGUGGGGAAAGG
rnacentral:other from 1 species